rnacentral:rRNA from 1 species
GCUUAUAGUUCCUAGUCAACUUUGGCUGAUCUCCAAAAGCUAAGCAGGUCGGAUCUGGUUAAUUCUUGGCUGGGGAACUACCAGGAAAUCCCAGGGCUAUAAGCU